rnacentral:rRNA from 1 species
GGGGGGGGGGCAAGCGUUGUUCGGAUUUACUGGGCGUAAAGGGGGGCUCGUAGGCGGCCAAUUAAGUCGGGUUGUGAAAUCCCUCGGCUCAACCGGGGAACUGCGACCGAUACUGGAAGGCUUGAAGCCGGGAGAGGGAUGCGGAAUUCCAGGAGUAGCGGUGAAAUGCGUAGAUACCUGGAGGAACACCCGUGGCGAAGGCGGCAUCCUGGACCGGUCUUGACGCUGAGGAGCGAAAGCUAGGGUAGCAAACGGGAUUAGAUACCCCGGUAGUCCUAGCCCUAAACGAUGAAUGCUUGGUGUGGCGGGUAUCGAUCCCUGCCGUGCCGGAGCUAACGCGUUAAGCAUUCCGCCUGGGGAGUACGGUCGCAAGGCUG